rnacentral:lncRNA from 1 species
AGUUCAUAAUUUAUAGAUCUGCUGAUGAUAUCUAUAGGCUUAGCAUGUUUUCUGCAUGCAACAUCAGUAUUUGAGAAUAAAAAUCAUAUGGGGUGGGCACUAUAAAAGAUCAUACGAGGUAGGCUUCACAAUGUGCCAUGUAUCUCUUAAUACUAAUCUUAAAGUAUGAGUCUAAAAGUCAAGGAUUUUUCUAUUGAUGGAGUUAUUAAUCUCGUGAUUAAAGCACUCUUUCUUUCUCGUUUUCAGUACAUAACAAUACAUACUAUAUGAUCAUAUAAUAUCAUUAAAUAUAUAAUUAGGUGAUACAUACUGUAAGCUUUUUUGAUACACACCAAGCAACGAUUUAAUAUACACCUACAGCUAAAUUGAUACAUAGUUUAUUGAACUUAUUAUUCACCAGUACACAGUAUAUGACUAGUUAAUACAC